rnacentral:rRNA from 1 species
UACGGGGGGGGCAAGCGUUGUUCGGAAUUACUGGGCGUAAAGGGCUCGUAGGCGGCCAACUAAGUCGGACGUGAAAUCCCCAGGCUCAACCUGGGAACUGCGUCCGAUACUGGAUGGCUUGAAUUCGGGAGAGGGAUGCAGAAUUCCAGGUGUAGCGGUGAAAUGCGUAGAUAUCUGGAGGAAUACCGGUGGCGAAGGCGGCAUCCUGGACCGACAUUGACGCUGAUGAGCGAAAGCUAGGGGAGCAACGGG